GACAAAAAAGAGAACUAGAAAAAGAAGAGUUCGAAGAUUUCUUUGGCUAUUCGACAAGCCGAUCCGAACCCCACGCGUGUUUCUUCGAAGUUUCGAUGGCAAGGUUAGUAUUAAAAUAUUAAUUUUCGUUCUCUUGUUUCGACAAUCAUGUCAAAAAUGGAUUUUGUUAGAAUUGUUGGAGGACUUAGGUUGUAGAUUUGAUCUCUAUUGGAGCCGUUCUCGCGUGCUUUUCGCCGCGAAUUAUUUUUCUACCACGUUGAGGCGCACGCUCGUUAUCACGUGGCUGGAGGAGAUUGUGGACGCGGCUAACGGCCGAUCGAUCCGCUGCUGCGAGCAGCAGAGCAGCCCCUUGUUGCUGCUACUGCUGCUGUGAGCAGCAGCAGCAGAUGAUGCCGCUGCCACUGCUGCAGCAAACAAUGGCAGCAGCAGGCACAGCAGUAGUGGGCGGCGCAGCAGCAGGAAUAGCCGCAUCAUUUGACGAGUAGUUCCGCUGAAAUCGCAGCAGUAGUAGCUCCCAUUCGGGACUCCAAUCGAGUCCGAUUUCGCCUCCAUUUCGAAAUGAAAGUUGAUCCAAGGAUGAUGAUGGUAGUGAGCUUCAAGUUGCGUUUUAUUCCAGUCGAAAUUAAGUUGUACGCAUGAAAUGGAUCUUAUUUUGGUGCUCAAGUGAGGAAGAGGAGCAUGUGGACCUGUUCCUUCACCUAAAUUUUAGAAAAAUUUAUGCCGACAAUUGAUCGAGGUAAAGGGGACUGCAUCAUAGAUAGCAUCUUCAACCCAUGUACACUAAUUGUAGAGGACCACUAGCUAGAUGUUUCACUCAUGCUAUAUACCAGGACUGGCAAGGGUCAGGGCCUUUUCUUUGUCUAUUCAAUUUGCUGGUUAGUUGAGACUUCGGGAUGUAUAGUGUUGUAUCAUAGUUGUAUCAUAGCUGAUACUUCGGUAUAGUGUUGUAUCAUAGUUGGUUUACAGUGGUUCGCUCUGAUACAUGUAAUUUGUUUGUUUAGUGACUUUACUCUUGAUCUUGUGAUAUGGAAAAUAAUUGUGAUUUCUUGGAUUGUUUUGCUACUGUUCUAUUGUUUUG